rnacentral:rRNA from 1 species
GGACUGCCAUCGACAAGAUGGAGGAAGGUGGGGAUGACGUCAAGUCAUCAUGGCCCUUAUGUCCAGGGCGACACACGUGCUACAAUGGCCGGCACAACGGGAAGCGAGUUCGCGAGGACGAGCGGAUCCCUCAAAGCCGGUCGCAGUUCGGAUUGAAGUCUGCAACUCGACUUCAUGAAGCUGGAAUCGCUAGUAAUCGUGGAUCAGCCAAGCCGCGGUGAAUACGUUCCCGGGCCUU